AAGGAGAGCUAUGACACUCUGCACAAGACACACCAGCGCUGUGAUGUCAGCGAGUGCAUUCACACAGAAGGCAGGGAGCAAGCAGAGGAAGAGGGGCCCUGGGAGCUGCUCCUGUGCGCCUCGUGUGCUGCGCAAGGCACCCACCGGCUCUGCUCUGAUUUGAGCGGCAGCAUAAGCACCUGGGAGGGUGACAUCUGUGCUGGCGUGGGCACAGCCUCCAGUGCCGAGUCGCAGCUUGCUGGUCCCAGCACUGCCAGCCAGGAGGCGGCGGGGCCAUCUCAUAGCUCCCCAGCACCUGAUGACAGCGGAUCUGCCUCCACCAGCCAGGCAGCAUUGGAGUCAUCUCCGAGUUCCCAGGUGCCUAAGCGCAGCAGCCUGUCCAGCCAGCCCGGGACAGGACAGAGGAAAAGCCAGAGACGUAAAUCCAACGAGCAACACCAAGGGAGCAGCCAGCAGGAAGCGGGGUA